rnacentral:tRNA from 1 species
GCCUUGCUGGCUCAGUUGGUAGAGCAUGCAACUCUUGAUCUUGGGGUCGUGAGGACAAGUCUCACACAGGGCA